rnacentral:rRNA from 1 species
AUUGAACGCUGGCGGCAGGCUUAACACAUGCAAGUCGAACGAGCGGCGGACGGGUGAGUAAUGUCUGGGAAACUGCCUGAUGGAGGGGGAUAACUACGGGAAACGGUAGCUAAUACCGCAUACCAUAGGAUGUGCCCAGGUGGGAUUAGGUAGUUGGUGGGGUAAGGGCUCACCAAGGCGACGAUCCCUAGCUGGUCUGAGAGGAUGACCAGCCACACUGGAACUGAGACACGGCCCAGACGCCUACGUGAGGCAGCAGUGGGGAAUAUUGCGCAAUGGGCGCAAGCCUGAUGCAGCCAUGCCGCGUGAGUGAAGAAGGCCUUCGGGUUGUAAAGCACUUUCAGUGGUGAGGCGGUAACUACAGAAGAAGCACCGGCUAACUCCGUGCCAGCAGCCGCGGUAAUAC